rnacentral:rRNA from 1 species
AACGAACGCUGGCGGCAUGCCUAACACAUGCAAGUCGAACGAAGCCUUCGGGCUUAGUGGCGCACGGGUGCGUAACGCGUGGGAAUCUGCCCUUGGGUUCGGAAUAACAGUUAGAAAUGACUGCUAAUACCGGAUGAUGUCUUCGGACCAAAGAUUUAUCGCCCAGGGAUGAGCCCGCGUAGGAUUAGGUAGUUGGUGGGGUAAAGGCCUACCAAGCCGACGAUCCUUAGCUGGUCUGAGAGGAUGAUCAGCCACACUGGGACUGAGACACGGCCCAGACUCCUACGGGAGGCAGCAGUGGGGAAUAUUGGACAAUGGGCGCAAGCCUGAUCCAGCAAUGCCGCGUGAGUGAUGAAGGCCUUAGGGUCGUAAAGCUCUUUUACCAGGGAUGAUAAUGACAGUACCUGGAGAAUAAGCUCCGGCUAACUCCGUGCCAGCAGCCGCGGUAAUACGGAGGGAGCUAGCGUUGUUCGGAAUUACUGGGCGUAAAGCGCACGUAGGCGGCUAUUCAAGUCAGAGGUGAAAGCCCGGGGCUCAACCCCGGAACUGCCUUUGAAACUAGAUAGCUAGAAUCUUGGAGAGGCGAGUGGAAUUCCGAGUGUAGAGGUGAAAUUCGUAGAUAUUCGGAAGAACACCAGUGGCGAAGGCGACUCGCUGGACAAGUAUGACGCUGAG